UGACACUGAGGACAGUCAUUGCCUGCCCUCAAGGAGAUUGAAGUUCUAAGUCAGACAACUUUGAAACCAACAGAUAAAAGGAAACCCAGACAACAGAGCCAGUAUUGAACAAGGACGGAGAUAACUACUACAGGGAUACAAAAAGCUUCAGGAGUGACGAGUAUCUGAAUUCCACUAAAUGUAUAGUUCAGAUCUUUCUUGCUGUCUAGCAUUUGGUAUUUCCAAUAACUUGAACCAACAGAGAUGCUAGUAACAUUUGCUUGGAUUCCUUUUACUGAUUUUCAUAUGCCCCAGAAAUGUACCAUUCCAUGUUAAAAAGGUGGAAAUCCAAAGAAUUCUUACCUUUAUUCCCUAACAUUGCCUAGCUACAUCAUACUACUAGUCAGUGCUAUGUGUUUCCUACCUAACAUACCUAAAUCAAAACCAAAUGAAAUGUCUUCGUGAGACUCUUCUUAAAAUUAUGGAAAUAAAAAAUAUAUUUCUGUAAUUCCAGCUUCUGUUAAUGAUGGAAUAACUCAAUCAUCCAAGGGUAAUAAUGAUGAAAUCUGGACCAUUUGGAAGUAUUGGAGAAUAACCAGAAGCAGGCAGAAACUGAAUAAAUCUAAACUUGAAAGACAAUGUCUGACAUUUGUUCAUGGAUUUUUGCAGGAGGGCAUUCUCCAGUCUUGGGUAAAGGACACAAACAGAAGGUGUCAGAGGAUGGAGUUCAAGACCAACAGAACAACCAGAAAAUUAGAGGAGGGAAAAAAAACAGUAAAAAAAAAUUACUAUAUGUGUGAAGAAAUAGGAAAAUGUGAGACUUAUGGAAAAAAUGCCAAUAGAAACAGACCCUCAGGUGACACAGCUAUCACAAUUAGCAGGCGGUAACUUAAGGCAGCUAUUAUAAAUAUGUUCAAGCACCUAAAGGAAGAUAAACACAUGAUGAAUUCACAUAUGAGGAAUUGCAGCAGAGAAAUAGAAACUAUAAAAAGGACCAAAUGGAAAUUCCAAAGCUGAAAAGUACAAUUAACUGGAAUGAAGAAUUUACUGAAUGAGCUUAACAGCAGAUUGGAGAUAA